CUACGGGGGGCUGCAGUGGGGAAUAUUGCGCAAUGGGGGAAACCCUGACGCAGCAACGCCGUGUGAGGGAUGAAGGCCUUCGGGUCGUAAACUUCUGUCAGGCAGGACGAAACAUCUAAGCGUAAAUAAUGUUUAGAUCUGACGGUACUGCCAGAGGAAGUCCCGGCUAACUCCGUACCAGCAGCCGCGGUAAUACGGAGGGGACAAACGUUGUUCGGAAUUAUUGGGCGUAAAGAGCGCGUAGGUGGUCAGAAAAGUCAGACGUGAAAUCCCUCUGCUCAACAGAGGAAGGGCGUUUGAAACUCUCUGGCUUGAGUGUGGGAGAGGAGAGUGGAAUUCCCAGUGUAGCGGUGAAAUGCGUAGAUAUUGGGAAGAACACCAGUGGCGUAGGCGGCUCUCUGGCCCAUUACUGACACUGAGGCGCGAAAGCUAGGGGAGCAAACGGGAUUAGAUACCCGGGUAGUC
rnacentral:rRNA from 1 species